GAGCAGCGGCCAGGCCGGGCCCGCGCCUGCCUCCCGACCGGCUGUCAGCGCCUGCAGGGCCUCUGCGCCCCGCCGCGGGGUGAGCACCACGGCCUAGGCAGCACCCCGAAGUGUGUCCUUUCUUCCCUGCUGAGCCCUAUGGCCUGUCCUGGUCAUCUACCACAACCUGUCCUGGCCAUAUCUGACCUGCCUGGCCAGAAGCCAGCCCAGUAGCAGAGCGUCGGGUAUCUCUCCCACGUGACUGGGAAUAUAUUGUCAAAACACGCCAGAAAACAACACCCCACAGUAAGAGGCACUGAUGGGAAAGUUACCCAACUGGAAAUACUGCUGGAAUACUAAGAAAAUUUCCUUUUUUGGUAACUUUUGUAAAAGUUUGUGUGCUGAUGUUAUAUUUCAUGCUUUAAUCUGCCUUUUGCUUUUAUCUUGUGCUCCUUUCAGAGCGAAGAAAUAGCAGCAUUUCAUUUCAGUGUAACGAAGGAGGGCCUUUGAUCUGCAAGGGAUGGUUUUUGCAACCCCAGCCAAGCCAUCGCUGCCUCUAAUGGUCCCAAAGUAAAAGCUAAAGUGUAAACAGCGCCUGCUGUAGUGUUACUGUGUGCAGUGCCAGCAGCAGCACUGUGUGACAGCUGACAGAAGGAAUGCAAUAAUAAUCAGGUCAACGAAAACAACGUUAAAUUCCAGCGUGAGACUUUGAAUCUCCUACACAAACAUUCCUGACCUUUUCCUAAAAUGCUCUUCUGCACAGAGUUUCAAAAGCAAGUGUUCCUGGUUUGCCUUGGCACAAAGCCCCACUUCAGGAUGUCGCUGAACAGCAAACCUCUGGUGCCAUCGGGCAACUUCUAAAGGGCUCUGUAAUGGCAGCCCCGACUCCUUUCUGUGGGCAAGGAGACAUGUGGACACUUCCAAGAAGGGACGCAGCCCGUUCCUUUGCUCUGCUUCACCUGCUGCUGUUUCCUGAGCAGCGUCUUGCUGCUUCUUUCACGGAGCAAGAUGUCCGGUUCUCCUGUCCCAUCUGGGUGGAACAGAUUGGAGGAUCACUGCUUGUUUUUUUUUUCCUCCUACAUCUCUAAAUUGACCAUCCCUUUUCCCACAGCCCAGGAUGAACCGAGAAUGAGGAAAUGGACUACAUAUCAAACCAUAUAUACAGACAGAUGGCUUUGCUCAGAUCAGCAAUCACUUGUGAAGUCUUCCAGGGUAGGGAAAAGCUGAAGCUGGAAACAUCCAGACCCUCCCACAAGCUCUUUUUAUCCCAUCACAUCAACCAUAAACAGGAGGCUAAGAAGGCUGCUAUCCCCUGUUUCUGAAAGAGAGGCCCAGCACUGAAGCUAAAAUAAAGAGAAAUCCAGCCUUGCUACCCUUUGCAA